rnacentral:lncRNA from 1 species
UUGUUUUUUUGCUCUUUGGGGCCACGCUGCGUUUGUGAACUGUAACACUCACCGCAAAGGUCUGCAGCUUCACUGCUGAAGCCAGCGAGAAGGCCACAAACCCACCGGGAGAAACAACCAAGUCCAGACUCGUCACAUUAAGAGCUGUAAUAUUCACCGCGAAGGUCUGCAGCUUCACUCCUGAGUCAGCAAGAUCACGAAUCCACCAGAAGGCUGAACGCAUCCGAACAUCAGAAGGAACAAACUCUGGAUACGCCGCCUUUAAGAACUGUAACACUCACCGCGAGGGUCCGUGGCUUCAUUCUUGAAGUCAGUGCGACCAAGAGCCCACCAAUUCCGGACGCAACAGGACACCCUGCGGCUUCUCCCUGGCUUUUUCAAAGUUCAGCCCAAGAGGAAGAGAGACCUAGUUAAUACUCAGGAGAUGGUGGCAUCUGUUUCUUCUAGCUGGGACAACUAAGGCCCCGAGAGGAGAAAGGGACCAUCCGGGGUACAGAGGCCACUGAGUGAGAGCCAGGACCAACAUCCCAUCAGCUCUCCCUCUUCAGCGCGGACCCCAACUCACCAGCGGUGGCUUCCUGAAGAGCUGGGUUAAGGAGGAUUCUGAGCUGCAGUAGAGCUCAAUAAGAGAGGCUGACGGGUAAGGGGUGCUGCGCUUUGAGCACAGGAACCGGUGACACAGAUCAGAUGCUGCUGCUGUCGUGGCUGCCACCACAAGAAACAAGAGUGUUGGAGUGCAAAUUCAUUAUCCAGCUGUUAAGAGCGACAGAGCAUGCACACAUCUCUCCCCGACUGGGGUAUCUGAGAGUCAGCCCUGCUGUAUGAUUGAGUGGCUGCCAGCCUCCUCUUUGUAACCUUGACACGCCAGAGCCGGGCCUCCAG